rnacentral:rRNA from 1 species
AUGGGGCAGGUCGCCGAGAAGCUUACCCGCACCAACUAUGUUCUGUGGCGUGCCCAGGUGACGCCGCAGCUGAGAGGUGCUGGUUACUUCGGCUACGUCGACGGGACGAUGCCGCAGCCCGCCCAGUUCAUCAUCACGAAGGACAAGGACGGGAAGGAGGAGAAAACACCCAACCCUCUCUAUCCGAUCUGGUUCAGAGAAGGGCAGCAGGUACUUGGAUACUUGCUCAAUAACCUUACCAAGGAAGUCCUCGUGCAGGUCACAUCUAUAGCCACGCCGCACGAGCUCUCGGCAGCCCUUGCCCACAUGUUCUCGUCGCAGUCCAGGGCGCGCGUCAACAACAUCAGAGUCGCGCUCUCCACGGCGCAGAAGGGGACGCAGUCGGUAGCCGCCUACUUCGCCCACAUGAGGUCCCUGGCGGAUGAGCUCACAGCUGCCGGCAAGCCCAUCGAUGAUGAUGAGCUGAUCUCCUACAUCACCUCCGGCCUCGACAUGGAGUACCAACCUCUCGUCUCCGCCAACGACGCCCGCACCGAGCCCAUCAGCAUCGACGAUCUCUACUCCCAGAUGAGUAACUUCGAUCAGCGUCUCGCCCUUUACAGCUCGGCGGGGUCUGGUGGAGGUUUCAAAUCCUCUGCUAACGCGGCUGCUCGCGGCCGCGGUGGCGGUGGACGCGGCGGUGGCAGCUCCUCUCGCUAUCGUGGGCCGCAGCGCACCAAGGGCAAGCCAUCAGGCGGCGAUGGCAACCCUCCUCCACGCAGCGGCAACGGCGGCGGCGGUCGGCCCUACAACAACAGCAACAAGGGUCGCCGCGGAGGCCGCCCACGAGCUGCUCCUGACGUGCCGCGCUGCCAAAUCUGUGGCAAGCCAGGCCACACCGCGCGGGACUGCUGGUACCGCUACGAGGAAGAUGAAGAAUCUUCCCAAGAUGAGAAGGUUGCGGGGGUAGCCGACGGCUCCUACGGCGUCGACACGAACUGGUACGUGGACAACGGCGCGACAGAUCACAUCACAGGGGAGUUGGAGAAGGUGACCAUGCGCGAAAAGUAUCGUGGGCAAGACCAAGUCCAUACCGCCAAUGGAGAAGGUAUGAGCAUUAGUCAUAUUGGUCAUUCAGUAAUAAAAACUCCCCAAAAAAAUAUUCGUCUCAGAAAAUUUUUGCAUGUCCCUAGUGCAUCAAAGAAUCUCCUUUCUGUUCAUCGCAUUGCUCUCGAUAAUCAUGUAUUCCUUGAGUUUCAUCCAUUUUUCUUUUUGAUCAAGGAUCAGGUCACGAGCAAAAUCCUCUAUCGAGGUAGAUGCGUUCGAGGGCUCUACCCGUUGAUUCCGGAGCUUAGGAGAUUGAAUAAACAAGCCUAUGGUGUCACCAAAGUGUCUUCAACACGAUGGCACGAUAGAUUAAGGCAUGCAUCAUUUCCUUUGAUUGAGAAAUUACUUAGAAAGAAUAAGCUCCCGUUUGUUGGUGAGCGUGAUUGUGAAACUAUUUGUGACUCAUGCCAGCGUGCUAAAAGUCACCAGUCAGCUUAUCCUAUAUCUACAAGUGUUUCUACCAAGCCUCUUGAACUCAUUUUCUCUGAUGUUUGGGGUCCCGCGCCUACUUCAGUUGGGCGCCACACUUAUUAUGUAAGCUUCAUCGAUGAUUUUAGUAAGUACACGUGGAUUUAUCUCCUCAAAAAGAGAUCUGAUGUGUUUCAAGUUUUUCACAACUUUCAAGCACUUGUAGAAAGAAAGUUCAACUGCAAAAUUCUAGCUAUCCAAUCUGAUUGGGGAGGGGAAUACAGAAACCUCAAUUCCUUCUUCCAACAGAUUGGCAUAUCUCACCACAUAUCGUGCCCUCAUGCUCACCAGCAGAACGGGUCUGCUGAGCGUAAGCACAGGCAUAUCGUCGAAGUAGGUCUAGCUCUUCUUGCAGCUGCCUCUAUGCCAUUAAAAUUUUGGGAUGAAGCCUUUCUCACCGCAGUUCAUCUUAUUAAUAUUCUUCCUAGUAGAGUCAUCAAAAAUGAAACUCCGGUAGAACGCCUUCUUCACACCAAACCCGAUUACAAAUCCCUCCGAGUGUUUGGCUGUGCGUGCUGGCCAAAUCUUCGUCCCUACAACAAUCGCAAGUUCCUUUUCCGGUCAAAACAAUGUGUCUUCAUUGGUUAUAGUCCACAACAUAAAGGUGUUAAGUGCCUUGAUGUAUCCACGGGUCGUGUCUAUAUAUCCCGUGAUGUUGUGUUCGACGAGAUAAUUUUUCCUUUUGCACAUCUCCACCCAAACGCCGGCUCUCUCCUUCAAAAGGAAAUUCUUCUUCUUCCAUCUCAUCUCACCGGUUCUGAUAAUGGGGAUGGUUUUACUACUAAUGAUCAAUUAUUGACUAAUCCUCCUACUAAUGGUGGUGAUGAGUUUUGUGAUGAAGCAGAAAAAAAUGGGACAGAAAAUGAUGAAGGAAUUGGCCAAAACUGUCAUUUUAUGCCUCCUGGAUGCAGCAGCAGCGCCAUCGAGGCAGAUCCGCCUCGGGAUCGGGGCGCAUCAGCCGCGGGAUCCGAGCGUGACGGGACAGACGAAUCUGCACCGAGCCCCGCGCCACGCCACGAUAGCCGCGGUCCGGCCAAUCACGGCGCGCCCGCGCGGGUGGACCACGCGUCGCCUGCGUCCGGUCGGUUCGGCCCCGAACCGCGUCACUACACGCGGCGCGCGCCUCGGCAGGAUCCGGGCGUGGAGUCCCGCGCCGCAUCUGCGGGGGCCCACUCAUCAUCGCCUCAUCAUGAGCCGGACGCUGCGGCUGGCGCAGCUGCGGGAUCCUUUGUGCCGCCAUCCUCCAGUACGUCACGCCCUUUGGUCGCAGAAAAUCCCGCCUUGUCACCCGCGCCUGACGCACCCGACAGGUCGUCUUCGGGAUCUGCAGCUGAUCCAGGUGCUGGAUCUUCUGUGCCUGCCUCUUCGCCAUCUCGGACCAGACUUCAAAGGGGAGUAAUCCAACCGAAAAACUACAAACAUAUAGCAAAAUUUGGCUAUGCUUGUAAUACACAUGGUGCAGAUACUGUUCCACGUACUGUAGUAGAAGCUUUGAAUGAUCCACGAUGGAAAAGGGCCAUGGAAGAAGAGUGCAAGGCGCUUGACAAAAAUAAAACCUGGCAUUUAGUCUCUGCACAUCAAGGGAAAGGUAAAAAUGUGAUAGAUUGUAAAUGGGUUUUCAGAGUAAAGAAGAAGUCUGAUGGAACCAUUGAUCGCUACAAAGCCAGACUAGUUGCGAAAGGUUUUAAGCAAAGGUAUGGCUUAGACUAUGAGGACACAUUUAGUCCUGUUGUAAAGGCUGCCACUAUUCGCCUUGUUUUGUCUAUUGCCAUGUCUACGGGAUGGAGUCUCCGUCAGCUAGAUGUACAUAACGCGUUUCUCCAUGGUGUUCUGGAAGAGGAAGUGUUCAUGCGACAACCUCCUGGGUUUGAGGACAAAAGUAAACCCUUUGCAAGCUUGAUAAGGCUUUGUAUGGAUUAA